CGGAGGGUGCAAGCGUUAUCCGGAUUCACUGGGUUUAAAGGGAGCGUAGGUGGGUUGGUAAGUCAGUGGUGAAAUCUCCGAGCUUAACUUGGAAACUGCCAUUGAUACUAUCAGUCUUGAAUAUUGUGGAGGUCAGCGGAAUAUGUCAUGUAGCGGUGAAAUGCUUAGAUAUGACAUAGAACACCAAUUGCGAAGGCAGCUGGCUACACAUAUAUUGACACUGAGGCUCGAAAGCGUGGGGAUCAAACGGGAUUAGAUACCCUGGUAGUCCACGCCCUAAACUAUGGAUACUCGACAUACGCGAUACACUGUGUGUGUCUGAGCGAAAGCAUUAAGUAUCCCACCUGGGGAAGUACGAUCGCAAGAUUG
rnacentral:rRNA from 1 species